UAAUCUGAAUACAGUCUGCAAAGAACUCAACAUUAUUGGGAAGGAUAUUGAAAAGUUCAAGAAACCAAAGUCCCCAAAUUACACCUGUAGUGCACUGAUGCAUGAAAGCGGAAUCUACACGAUGCUCUAUGCGGAAAAUUGGCAUGGAAAAUUUAUGAAAUCUUUCACCAAAGAAAUUGUUCCACACUUUAAGAUGCUGAAAGCAUAUGACAUGUUUUAUUGUAUUCAGAACAAGGUUGCUAAUCAACACUUUGAGAAAACCAGGAAAAGAAAGCGUUAGCGGGGGCAGCGCCAGUCUACUGGGGAUGGUCUUCAAAUGAAAGUCUAUGCAAUAUCUAUUGAGGGGGCCAUGUCCAGUGAUGACAUUUCAU